GAUGAACGCUGGCGGCGCGCCUAACACAUGCAAGUCGAACGGUUAAGGCCCCCUUCGGGGGGCGCAUAGAGUGGCGAACGGGUGAGUAACACGUGACCAACCCGCCCCCCCCACCGGGACAACCUCGGGAAACCGAGGCUAAUACCGGAUACGCCGGGGCCCCCGCAUGGGGGCUCCGGGAAAGCCUUGGCGGGAGGGGACGGGGUCGCGGCCCAUCAGGUAGACGGCGGGGCGAAGGCCCGCCGUGCCGACGACGGGUAGCCGGGCUGAGAGGCCGAUCGGCCACAUUGGGACUGAGACACGGCCCAGACUCCUACGGGAGGCAGCAGUGGGGAAUAUUGCGCAAUGGGGGAAACCCUGACGCAGCGACGCCGCGUGCGGGAAGGAGGCCUUCGGGUCGUAAACCGCUUUCAGCAGGGAAGAAGCCUGACGGUACCUGCAGAAGAAGCCCCGGCUAACUACGUGCCAGCAGCCGCGGUAAUACGUAGGGGGCGAGCGUUAUCCGGAUUCAUUGGGCGUAAAGCGCGCGCAGGCGGCCCGCCAAGCGGCCUCGUCGAAGCCGGGGGCUCAACCCCCGGAAGCGACCCGAACUGGCGGGCUCGAGUGGGGCAGGGGAGGAUGGAAUUCCCGGUGUAGCGGUGAAAUGCGCAGAUAUCGGGAGGAACACCGACGGCGAAGGCAGCCCUCUGGGCCUUCACUGACGCUGAGGCGCGAAAGCUGGGGGAGCGAACAGG
rnacentral:rRNA from 1 species